CCUACGGAGGGCUGCAGUGGGGAAUUUUGGGCAAUGGGCGCAAGCCUGACCCAGCAAUGCCGCGUGACUGAAGAAGGCUUUCGGGUUGUAAACUUCUUUUCUCAGGGACGAAGAAAGUGAUGGUACCUGAGGCAUAAGCUACCGCUAACUGCGUGACAGCAGCCGCGGUAAUACGUAGGUGGCACGCGUUAUACGGAUUUAUUGGGUGUAAAGGGCGUGUAGGCGGGAAGCCAAGUCAGAUGUGAAAACUCAGGGCUCAACCCUGGGCCUGCGUUUGGAACUGGGUUACUUGAGUGCGGGAGAGGCAGGUAGAAUUCCGUGUGGAGCAGUGAAAUGCGUAGAUAUGCGGAGGAACACCGGUGGCGAAGGCAGAUUGCUGGACAGUAACUGACGCUGAGGCGCGAAAGCGUGGGGAGCAAACAGGAUUAGAUACCCGGGUAGUC
rnacentral:rRNA from 1 species